UCGAGCUCUGGCGCUGCUACACGUGUCCAGGUAAGUAAAGUUUUGCGUUUCAUUUAAUCAACGCGUAAUAGGCUUAGAUGGUUUGUUGUGGGAAUGGGCUUUAGACUUGGUAAGUUUUCCGGCCCAAUGAGAAGGAGUCCGUCCCUCUAACCCUAGCUGCAGUGAAGAAACGAAGUUCGUCUUCUUCUACGUGCGAUGGCCAGACUGUGACUUUUGAUGUUCUCUCACGGCCUGAAACGGUUUGAUUAAUGGCUUUGUGUUUAAUCCCAUUGAUUCACACCUCCACGAUGUGUCUUCAAAGCGUUGUUUGAAUCUGGGAGUCGGUGUGGUUGUGGUAUAAAUAUAUCUCUGGCUUUUGGAAGGUCUGUAUGCGAAGAAGAGGUGAGCUCACCAAUCUUGGACAAGAAGACAAUGAAGAAAAAGCGUUUCCACCGCCCCACACCUCAUAAGCUCCAAUGAGCAUAUCAGCAUCCAGAUGAGCAACUUAGCAUAUAAUUGGGUUUAGCCCCAAGACAAAUCAAGAUUUGGUUUCAGAACCAAAGAACACAGACGAAGGCACAACUCAAGAGAGCUGAUAAUUGUGCACUCAAGGAAGGGAAUUAUAGGAUUCGUUAUGAAAACGAUGCCAUUAGAGAAGCUCUCAAAUACGCCACCAAAAUUCUUACUUUGAUGAACAGACGCUUUGAAUCGAAAAUGCUUAGAGAAGAGUGAUGUGAACAUGAUUUUCAAAUUUAGUUGGAUAAUAGCCAUCACAGCAGAGAUCAAGAUGGGACGCAAGUUAAGAAAGACAACAACGGAUGCGGUGGCGGAAAUUCUUGUGGUGCCGUGUUCACGCGGUGGUUUGUGGCGAGGUGAGGAGACAAGAGGGAUGAGAAGGGAGAUUGAGCCUGUUGUCUAGAAGUAGAUUACUGCUAUCCGCACUAUCAGAAGUUCUCUGACAAUGUAAACCAGUACUGAUUUUGACUUUUCAAGGGUAUCUACAGGAGCAUCACUUCCUCUUUCUACUUGCUCUGCUAGCCAUCCUUCAAUCCCUUGAAGCACAUAAACAUCAACUCCAAGAGUGAAGAUAGCUUUUACAUUCUUUUGAAAAUAAGGUAGAAAGAUGAUGAUCAAAUUUUUAGUAUGCUAUUAGAAGUUAUAUUAUUAUUUUUUUUCUUUCUGAUUUUAGUUUGAUACAUGGCUUAUUAGAUUCUGGUUGUUAUAUAAUCUUUAUAAGUUCGUCUCUUACAUGGUUUAAAUUGUGGUAGAAGAAAGGAAGAACAAUUAUAUUUAAACAAGACGAAGUUAGUUAUCUUCCUCA